rnacentral:rRNA from 1 species
GACGUAGGGUGCGAGCGUUGUCCGGAUUUAUUGGGCGUAAAGAGCUCGUAGGCGGCUUGUCGCGUCGACCGUGAAAACUUGGGGCUCAACCCCAAGCCUGCGGUCGAUACGGGCAGGCUAGAGUUCGGUAGGGGAGACUGGGAUUCCUGGUGUAGCGGUGAAAUGCGCAGAUAUCAGGAGGAACACCGGUGGCGAAGGCGGGUCUCUGGGCCGAUACUGACGCUGAGGAGCGAAAGCGUGGGGAGCGAACAGG